rnacentral:lncRNA from 1 species
GAAGACUAAGGUGGCUUGCAUGCAUGCGCGAGAGCAAGGAUGGGUGGAGCCGAGUGGCGAAGUUGUAUCUGUCAAGGUGCAAUGGCCCAGCUUGAAGUCAUUCUCAUGUGGAGCUUGUCGGUUCUCUCUCACUCUCUCCUUCUUCCUCUCUUUUUUUUCAUCUUUCUUAUUUUUUUUCUUUUCUCUUUUUUCAUCUCUCUUCUCCUUUUUUGUCUCUCUCUUUUUUUUCCUUUUUUCUUUUCUUAGCAAGGCAGAACUAGCACCAUUAAACUAGGAUACAUCUUGGUAUGAGUAGAACAUGCAACGAGAUGCUCACUAACUCCCCCCCCC